rnacentral:rRNA from 1 species
GACGAACGCUGGCGGCGUGCUUAACACAUGCAAGUCGAACGGAAAGGCCUGCAGCUUGCUGCGGGUACUCGAGUGGCGAACGGGUGAGUAACACGUGGGUGAUCUGCCUUGCACUUCGGGAUAAGCUUGGGAAACUGGGUCUAAUACCGGAUAGGACAGCCGUUUAGUGUCAGUUGUGGAAAGUUUUUUCGGUGCAAGAUGAGCUCGCGGCCUAUCAGCUUGUUGGUGGGGUAAUGGCCUACCAAGGCGUCGACGGGUAGCCGGCCUGAGAGGGUGUACGGCCACAUUGGGACUGAGAUACGGCCCAGACUCCUACGGGAGGCAGCAGUGGGGAAUAUUGCACAAUGGGCGGAAGCCUGAUGCAGCGACGCCGCGUGGGGGAUGAAGGCCUUCGGGUUGUAAACUCCUUUCGACAGGGACGAAGCUUUUGUGACGGUACCUGUAUAAGAAGCACCGGCUAACUACGUGCCAGCAGCCGCGGUAAUACGUAGGGUGCGAGCGUUGUCCGGAAUUACUGGGCGUAAAGAGCUCGUAGGUGGUUUGUCGCGUCGUCUGUGAAAUUCCGGGGCUUAACUCCGGGCGUGCAGGCGAUACGGGCUGACUUGAGUGCUGUAGGGGAGACUGGAAUUCCUGGUGUAGCGGUGAAAUGCGCAGAUAUCAGGAGGAACACCGAUGGCGAAGGCAGGUCUCUGGGCAGUAACUGACGCUGAGGAGCGAAAGCAUGGGUAGCGAACAGGAUUAGAUACCCUGGUAGUCCAUGCCGUAAACGGUGGGCGCUAGGUGUAGGGGGCUUCCACGUCUUCUGUGCCGUAGCUAACGCAUUAAGUGCCCCGCCUGGGGAGUACGGCCGCAAGGCUAAAACUCAAAGGAAUUGACGGGGGCCCGCACAAGCGGCGGAGCAUGCGGAUUAAUUCGAUGCAACGCGAAGAACCUUACCAAGGCUUGACAUACACUGCGAUGUGCCAGAGAUGGUGCAGCCUUCGGGGUGGUGUACAGGUGGUGCAUGGUUGUCGUCAGCUCGUGUCGUGAGAUGUUGGGUUAAGUCCCGCAACGAGCGCAACCCUUGUCUUUAGUUACCAGCAAGUAAAGUUGGGGACUCUAGAGAUACUGCCGGUGAUAAACCGGAGGAAGGUGGGGAUGACGUCAAAUCAUCAUGCCCUAUAUGUCUUGGGCUACACACGUGCUACAAUGGUCUGAACAAAGCGCAGCGAACUCGUGAGGGUAAGCAAAUCGCAGAAAACAGAUCUCAGUUCGGAUUGUAGGCUGCAACUCGCCUACAUGAAGUCGGAGUUGCUAGUAAUCGUGGAUCAGAAUGCCACGGUGAAUGCGUUCCCGGGUCU